CAGUCGCCGCGGGAAAACCAGCACCUCGAGUGGUCAGGAGGUUUAUUGGGCCUAAAGCAUCCGUAGCCGGUUGCAUAAGUUUUCGGUUAAAUCUAUGCGCUUAACGUAUAGGCCGCCGAAAAUACUGUGCAGCUAGGGAGUGGGAGAGGUACACGGUACUCGAUAGGAAGGGGUAAAAUCCUUUGAUCUAUUGAUGACCACCUGUGGCGAAGGCGGUGUACCAGAACACGUUCGACGGUGAGGGAUGAAAGCUGGGGGAGCAAACCGGAUUAGAGACCCGCGUAGUCCCUGUCUCUUAUAC
rnacentral:rRNA from 1 species